UCCGCCUAAAAAAUUUGAGAGUUUUUGAAAGCUCUCCCUAAAACUUCAUCGACCCCUUUUAAUCACCAGAAUUUGGUGAGCCUCCGCCGUUGCUCCACUGCAUCUUGACUCAGGCCACCGUUUUGCAGCGACGAAAGAGGUUAUAAAACGAGAGGAUUUUUCUUCUCUCCCCUCGUGAGCCUCUGUCAAUCUCUCUGCCAAAAAUCGUUGUGUAUUUGUUUCGGCAGUAAUCGUGCGAAGGGAUGGACAACAGGUGCACGAAUGACCCCUGCUGAGGUGGCUGUUGGAAAGAAGGGAGACCACCAAACUUGUCUCGCCUGAGCAUUUUGCUGAAAUGGCUGCUUUCGUGGCAACCAACGUGGACUGAUGUAGGCUUCUAGAAGUUCAAACGGCGAUGACAAAUUACACCAUUAGGGUAAACCCUGAUGCUAAUAUAUUUGGGUCAUUGGAUCUUGAACAGAUCCAAUGCCUGUCCAUUGGCUGCGUAGAUAUCAUGUUAGGGUUUCACAAACCCUAAAUAUUGCUUUUGAUAUAGAUUGUUGGAUGAGUCCAGAUCGGAUGAACAGGAAGGAGCGGCGUUGGAGGAAAAAAUGUGAAAACCCUAAUUGUAGUACUUGUUGGGUGUUGAACAUGGGCCACCCUUGGGCUUCGUAUUGAGUCUCGUGGUUAGAAUUUAAUUUAUUGGAUCUAUAAUGAAACAAAGGUGAAACAAAAGUUAGCAUUUAUUUAA